GAUUCUGGCUCAGGAUGAACGCUAGCUACAGGCUUAACACAUGCAAGUCGAGGGGCAGCAUGAGAUUAGCUUGCUAAUCUUGAUGGCGACCGGCGCACGGGUGAGUAACGCGUAUCCAACCUUCCCCUUAGUAGGGCAUAGCCCGGCGAAAGUCGGAUUAAUACCCUAUGUUCUUCGUAGAGGACAUCUGAAAUGAAGCAAAGAUUUAUCGCUAAGGGAUGGGGAUGCGUCUGAUUAGGUAGUCGGCGGGGUAACGGCCCACCGAGCCUGCGAUCAGUAGGGGUUCUGAGAGGAAGGUCCCCCACAUUGGAACUGAGACACGGUCCAAACUCCUACGGGAGGCAGCAGUGAGGAAUAUUGGUCAAUGGGCGCGAGCCUGAACCAGCCAAGUAGCGUGCAAGGAUGACGGCCCUAUGGGUUGUAAACUGCUUUUAUGCGGGGAUAAAGUGCACCACGUGUGGUGUUUUGUAGGUACCGCAUGAAUAAGGACCGGCUAAUUCCGUGCCAGCAGCGGC
rnacentral:rRNA from 1 species